rnacentral:rRNA from 1 species
CCGGAGGAAGAGAAAGAAAAUUCGAUUCCCUUAGUAGCGGCGAGCGAAACGGGAAGAGCCCAAACCAACAAGCUUGCUUGUUGGGGUUGUAGGACACUCUAUACGGAGUUACAAAGGACGACAUUAGACGAAUCAUCUGGAAAGAUGAAUCAAAGAAGGUAAUAAUCCUGUAGUCGAAAAUGUUGUCUCUCUUGAGUGGAUCCUGAGUACGACGGAGCACGUGAAAUUCCGUCGGAAUCUGGGAGGACCAUCUCCUAAGGCUAAAUACUCUCUAGUGACCGAUAGUGAACCAGUACCGUGAGGGAAAGGUGAAAAGCACCCCGGAAGGGGAGUGAAAUAGAACCUGAAACCGUGUGCUUACAAGUAGUCAGAGCCCGUUAAUGGGUGAUGGCGUGCCUUUUGUAGAAUGAACCGGCGAGUUACGAUUUGAUGCAAGGUUAAGCAGUAAAUGUGGAGCCGUAGCGAAAGCGAGUCUGAAUAGGGCGUUUAGUAUUUGGUCGUAGACCCGAAACCAGGUGAUCUACCCUUGGUCAGGUUGAAGUUCAGGUAACACUGAAUGGAGGACCGAACCGACUUACGUUGAAAAGUGAGCGGAUGAACUGAGGGUAGCGGAGAAAUUCCAAUCGAACCUGGAGAUAGCUGGUUCUCUCCGAAAUAGCUUUAGGGCUAGCCUCAAGUGAUGAUUAUUGGAGGUAGAGCACUGUUUGGACGAGGGGCCCCUCUCGGGUUACCGAAUUCAGACAAACUCCGAAUGCCAAUUAAUUUAACUUGGGAGUCAGAACAUGGGUGAUAAGGUCCGUGUUCGAAAGGGAAACAGCCCAGACCACCAGCUAAGGUCCCAAAAUAUAUGUUAAGUGGAAAAGGAUGUGGCGUUGCCCAGACAACUAGGAUGUUGGCUUAGAAGCAGCCAUCAUUUAAAGAGUGCGUAAUAGCUCACUAGUCGAGUGACACUGCGCCGAAAAUGUACCGGGGCUAAACAUAUUACCGAAGCUGUGGAUUGUCCUUUGGACAAUGGUAGGAGAGCGUUCUAAGGGCGUUGAAGCAUGAUCGUAAGGACAUGUGGAGCGCUUAGAAGUGAGAAUGCCGGUGUGAGUAGCGAAAGACGGGUGAGAAUCCCGUCCACCGAUUGACUAAGGUUUCCAGAGGAAGGCUCGUCCGCUCUGGGUUAGUCGGGUCCUAAGCUGAGGCCGACAGGCGUAGGCGAUGGAUAACAGGUUGAUAUUCCUGUACCACCUAUAAUCGUUUUAAUCGAUGGGGGGACGCAGUAGGAUAGGCGAAGCGUGCGAUUGGAUUGCACGUCUAAGCAGUAAGGCUGAGUAUUAGGCAAAUCCGGUACUCGUUAAGGCUGAGCUGUGAUGGGGAGAAGACAUUGUGUCUUCGAGUCGUUGAUUUCACACUGCCGAGAAAAGCCUCUAGAUAGAAAAUAGGUGCCCGUACCGCAAACCGACACAGGUAGUCAAGAUGAGAAUUCUAAGGUGAGCGAGCGAACUCUCGUUAAGGAACUCGGCAAAAUGACCCCGUAACUUCGGGAGAAGGGGUGCUCUUUAGGGUUAACGCCCAGAAGAGCCGCAGUGAAUAGGCCCAAGCGACUGUUUAUCAAAAACACAGGUCUCUGCUAAACCGUAAGGUGAUGUAUAGGGGCUGACGCCUGCCCGGUGCUGGAAGGUUAAGAGGAGUGGUUAGCUUCUGCGAAGCUACGAAUCGAAGCCCCAGUAAACGGCGGCCGUAACUAUAACGGUCCUAAGGUAGCGAAAUUCCUUGUCGGGUAAGUUCCGACCCGCACGAAAGGCGUAACGAUUUGGGCACUGUCUCAACGAGAGACUCGGUGAAAUCAUAGUACCUGUGAAGAUGCAGGUUACCCGCGACAGGACGGAAAGACCCCGUGGAGCUUUACUGUAGCCUGAUAUUGAAAUUCGGCACAGCUUGUACAGGAUAGGUAGGAGCCUUUGAAACGUGAGCGCUAGCUUACGUGGAGGCGCUGGUGGG